rfam:Cajanus cajan Scaffold126551_3, whole genome shotgun sequence.
AUAUGAUGUUGAGGACAUGUAGCACACAGCUUGUUGAAUCUCUCCCAGUACUCAUACAAAGUCUCUCCAUUCAGUUGCCUUAUACCACAAAUCUCUUUCCUAAUUGU